AGCAGCCGCGGUAAUUCCAGCUCCAAUAGCGUAUAUUAAAGUUGUUGCAGUUAAAAGCUCGUAGUUGAAUUUCGGGAUCAGUACGCUGGUCGUGCCUUCGGUAUGUACUGGUGUUACUGGUUCCUACCUUCUGACGAACCGUCAUGUCAUUAAUUUGGUGUGGCGGGGAAUCAGGACUGUUACUUUGAAAAAUUAGAGUGUUUGAAGCAGGCUCGCGCUUGAAUACAUUAGCAUGGAAUAAUGAAAUAGGACGUUUGAUCCUAUUUUGUUGGUUUCUAGGAUUGACGUAAUGAUUAAUAGGGAUAGUUGGGGGCAUUAGUAUUCAAUUGUCAGAGGUGAAAUUCUUGGAUUUAUUGAAGACUAACUACUGCGAAAGCAUUUGCCAAGGAUGUUUUCAUUAAUCAAGAACGAAAGUUAGGGGAUCGAAGACGAUCAGAUACCGUCGUAGUCUUAACCAUAAACUAAUGC
rnacentral:sRNA from 1 species